UUUGAAAAACAGCCUGCCGAAAUCGGACGUAUUUUCUAGUGAAUUUUUUGAUAUGUGUCUAGAUAGGUAUUGGUCCCUAGAAGCCAAAGCCACUUUCAAAAAAAUUCGUCGCUUGUAUGGCUCGUGAGGGGUGACCAAAAACCGAAUACAUUCACUUUUCUUAUGGAAAUUUCUCGUAGGCCACGAAACGUACAAGGUCGUGUGGGAGGUCAUUAGAAAGGUAAUUGCAUGUACGUUCGGGGCAGAUUGGGUCUUGUUGGGUUUAAAGUUCAU